rnacentral:rRNA from 1 species
ACUCUGAGCAGUGAAUCACUCGGCUCACGGGUCGAUGAAGAACGCCGCUUGCUGCGAUAAUUGGUGUGAAUUACAUAUUGCUAAACUUUUGAA